rnacentral:rRNA from 1 species
GGUACCCGAAUAAGAAGCACCGGCUAACUACGUGCCAGCAGCCGCGGUAAUACGUAGGGUGCGAGCGUUAAUCGGAAUUACUGGGCGUAAAGCGUGCGCAGGCGGUUUGGUAAGUCAGAUGUGAAAUCCCCGGGCUCAACCUGGGAACUGCAUUUGAGACUGCCAGGCUGGAGUUUGGCAGAGGGGGGUGGAAUUCCACGUGUAGCAGUGAAAUGCGUAGAGAUGUGGAGGAACACCGAUGGCGAAGGCAGCCCCCUGGGCCAAAUACUGACGCUCAUGCACGAAAAGCGUGGGGAGCAAAACAGGAUUAGAUACCCUGGUAUCCACGCCCUAAAACGAUGUCAACUAGGUGUUGGGAGGGUUAAAACCUUUUUAGUGCCGUAGCUAACGCGUGAAGUUGACCGCCUGGGAGUACGGCCGCAAGGCUAAAACUACAAAGGAAUUGAC